GGUCUGAUAGCACAACGGUUAGUGUGUCUGCUUUAGCUGGUUGAUUUCAGCUUGAUGUUUUAAGCAGAAGAUCCCUGUUCGAUUCGGGGUCAGGUCA